UGUUUGUUUGAGAACUGUUGUGGUCACCCCAUUGAUUGCCAGGGUUGAUUCGGCUGAUCUGGCUGGCUAGGCGGGUGUCCCCUUCCUCCCUCACCGCUCCAUGUGCGUCCCUCCUGAAGCUGCGUGCUCGGUGGAAGAGGAUGGCCAUCCCAGAUAGAAGGAGUGUACUGUUCUUCGGUCAAGGGUAUACAAUAGCUGCGCUCCCCUGCUAGAACCUCCAAACUCUCUCUCAGCCUACCUCAUAAGAUUGGUGUAGAGGAAAGAACUAUGCAUGCCAUUCUUGUGGAAGGUCAUAUUAU